GGGACACCCUCAAACCAUAAUGGGCAGCUACUACCUACAUGUGGCUAAUGUUCCUGGAGUUGAAAUUUUUAAUUACGUCAAUUUAAAUCAUCACCUUUGAAGGCGCUCUAGAGGAUGUGCGUAGAUUACAGAGUGGCUCAGUGGCUAGACUCUGAACAUGUCAGUGAACGGUUAGGGAGAUGAAAUAAAGCUGCCUGGGGAGCUGAGGAAAUGGCCACUGAUAGAGUAGGGAAAAGCCAAGAACACAAUGUCCUAGAAACUGGAUGGAGAGUGUAUCCAGGAGAAGCAGGUAGUCAACUUGUCAAAUGCUGCUAGCAGAUCAAGGAAGACAGAGACUAAAGGACAGUUAUUUAGAGUUAAUAACGUGGUUCAACUCUGACAACAGAAGUUACUUAGUGGAGUCCAGAGCCAAACUACCUAAGAUUAGCUUAAGAUGGAAUGACCAGAUCAAAAUAAUAAAUCACAAUGAGACUGCUUUGUCACCUACACAUUUAAAGGGAUCAAUAGCUUUUAAGUGCAUGGACCUGACGUGGGGAGCAGGCACUCUGCUGGAUUGCUGGUGUGAUGGCAUAUGCAAAUCAGCUAGGAGAGUCCUCUCACAAAAAUGACAGGGGCUCACUGUGAGCCUUAACUAGCCUAGAACUUGCUAUGUGGACUCGAUCGGCCUGGAGCACUUGUCUCUACCUCCCCAGGGCCAGCAUUAAAGGCAUGCACCACCAUGCCCAAUUUAAAAACGAUCUGAUGUGUUUAUAUGUAUGCAUGUUUGCCUAUGUAUAAAUAUAUCACAUGAGUGUCUGGUGCCCACAGGGCCAGAGAGGAUGCUGGAUCAUAUGAAAUUGGAGUUGCAGAUGAUUGUGAGCCACCAUAAGGGUUCUGGGAACUGAACCAUGGUCUUCCACAAAAGCAGCAACUGCUCUUAGCCCCCGGGCCAUCUUUCCAGCUCCCUCUCCCACGUUUUUAAACGUAUAAUAUGGAGGCUGGCCAGACAGCAAAGGAACCUGCUGCCAGACCUGAUGGCCUGAGUGGACUUCCCAAGAUCCCACAUCGUGAAAGGAGAGAACCAAUUCCCACAAGUUAUCCUUUGACAUCCACACACACUUGGUGUGUACAGGAGUGCAUGUGCCCCCCCCACCAAAUACACACAAAUUUAAGGGUACUGUAUAUCCAAGAGAAGGGUGAGGACAGAGCAGUGUGUACAGGAUGCUUUGUGCUUGUGUUUCAAAGUGCCACACAGGAGGACACACAAGAUGAGCAACAGUGCCACCUCUACACGAGUGCUGGGGUGGGUUGGGGUGGGGACAGGGGACAGGGAUGACACAGCAAAAGAGCCACAGUAAAAAAGAAACAUCUUCAGCAGGUUUUGAGUGUCAUGCUGUGUACUUGCCUUUAUCUACUUCAGAACAAUUGUCUUUAACUGUUAUUGCUUAGCUGGUUCGUUGGCAUUUAAUUACACUUAUUGAUUUAUAUGUGUGUGAGCAUAUAUAUGGGGUCCAGAGGACAUCUUGCAGGAGUGUGCUCCCUCCUACCAUGUAGGUUCUAGGUAUUAAACUUAGGCCAUCAGGCGCUUAGUGAUAGGCACUUUUACCCAACAAUGGCCUAAUCUUCGUGGCUCUGACUUAUUUAUCUUUUUAUACCAUCUCACUAUAGAGCCCUGGCUGGCCUCAAACUCACUACAUAACCAGAUUAAACUCAAGCCUCCAGAUUCCUAUGCCUCCGAAGUGCAGGUGUGACCCACAUGCACCACCACAGACAACUUCAAAGCUGUAUCUUAUAAAUAAAAGUUUAUAAAAUCUUUUUGAGUAUGUAACAAUAGGUAACUCUUAGAGCACUGUGGUUAGAUACAUUGUUUGUCUGGAUGGUUUUUUUUUUAUGGUAUUAAGAAUGGAACUCCAGGCCCUGCACAUGCCAGGAUAUUCCCCAGCCUGUGGUGGGAGUUUUAAAUGAAGUUUAUUUUAAAAGGUAAAUUUAGGGCCUGGAGAGAUAACACAGUAGUUAAAAGCACCAGCUGCUCUUCCAGAGGACCUGGGUUCAAGUGCCAGCACCCACGUGGAAGCUCACAACUAUCUGUAAGUCAGGGGAUCUGACACUUCCUUUCUGGCCUCAUGGGCACAGACAUCCAUGCAGACAAAAUAUCCAUGCACAUAAAAGAAAUAUAAAUAAAUUUGUAAAAAAAUUUAAGUACAUCUAGUGUUUUAAAGACAAGAUUUUUCUCCCAGCUCCCAGAGACCUGUCAUAAUUGGUCCUCUAACUAGCGAAUUGCAGAAUAACUACCUCUUUAUCUUCUCAAGUGUGCAUGUGCUCCACUGAAGAGUAGCUGCAGUUCAGAGACCAUCUGAACUUACUCAAAUGGCUAUGAUAUCUGAUUCUGUCUCCAUAAAGUCCUAUAAGAGCAAGCACUAUCUUGGUUUAAUUGCUUCAAGGUAAUUUAGAAAGAUAUAUGGAAAUACAAAGAGGAAAUGUGCACUUGUGUUUUCCCAUAAUCUGCAUGUAAGUAUAUCUAUUCUGAUUUUAGUUUUGGGCCCCAAUUUCCAAAACUGAUGCUUCUGUUUGAUGUCAUUUUUAAAAAAUGUGUUGUGACAAAAUUGUUUAUCUGGCCUAUUUUCCCUUCUUCUGAUGGC
rnacentral:lncRNA from 1 species